AGAGGGGCAGAGACCGAGACAAAGCUCCGGAGAGGGAGCCAGAGCGGGAGAGACCGCGAGCAGGGGACGCCAGUCUGGGGAGGACAGGAAAGCAGCUGAAACAAUGAGGGCGACCGACACCCCAGAUGGAGAGAGACUCAGAGACCCCGACAGGUGACGGCCACGCCGAGAGACAGACUGAUGGCGGGACUGAGGAAGGCGAGGCUAGGUAGAGAUGUUGUUAUUGAAGAUGAUAGGAUUGAUGACGUGCUGAAAAAUAUGACAGACAAGGCACCUCCUGGUGUCUAACCCCCCCCCCCCAAAAGACAAUGAGUUAAAGGGAGAGAAUAAGAGCGGCGGUAACAGUCAUUGGCAAAACGCAUGAAAAGAGAAAGCACUUUGAAAUUUAUUACUAGCUUGCGACCCACGAUGAAAUCAGCAACCUGUAUCUCGCGUCAGGCCGGGAGACAGAUGAGGCGGGAGAAGGAGGAGGAGAAGGCUCUGGGCUCCUCAGCAAAAACAAAAAUUAAAAAAAAAAAAUUUAAAAUUUAAAAAUCACUCUAUACACACAUAUAAAGAAAUAAAAAAGACGUCUCAGUUGCAGCUACUUGUCAAAAGUAAUAUCUAUUUCUUUUUAUAUACAGUGAAUAUUGCACAAUUAUAGAUCUGGAUUUUGAGCCACUUAAAUAAUGAAGCGGCAACACCGGGUGUUUUGAAUGUUGGCAUUGUUCGCUGAUUUGGCUGUUCCCAAUGUUUACAUUAUUUAAUCUUGCAAAAAUGGUUCUGUGCACUUGGAUGUGAAAUGCUGUCCAGUUUUCUUUUUUUUAUGUUGUUCUCCUUGGAUGUACAAGAAAAAAAAAUCAGCAAAUGAUCUCUAUAGAUAUUGUUUUAUUUUUGGUCAUCUUUUGAAGUUACCAGGAAUGUGUUUAAAACAAGAAGAGAACUUUUCUAAGGAAUGAUACCUAGACUGAAUCCUUGUCUUACUUUAAAAUGACUUGUAAAGCUUGUGUUUCUCUGUUGCUGCAAGCUAUUUGCCCAAGUUAAUGCAAAUGGACACAUUUUAUAUGUCAGGAAAAAAAAAACACACAAAAACAAAGAAAAAAAAAUGCUUGAGCUUUUUCUAACCUCUUCCUGCAGUCUGUUGUGUGAGCAGCCUGUUUUUUCUCUCUAAUAUUGUGUCAGUUUAUUCUCUUCGAUGGGCUGUAAAAAAAAAUGUAAUCACAAGAGUGCCAAAUAUCUUGAAAUGCCAAAAGGCAUUUUGGUUUCUUUCUUUUUCCCUGUGCUCUGAGUCCACGUUAAGGAAUGCUUGGAGAGUCUUUUCUGUUAUUUAUAGGGGUUCUCUUAAGGCACACCAGCUGCCUGUUUUGCAUGGUAUUUGCAAAAACGCCUCUUGUGUGAGGAAAUCUUUUACCACUUUUUGUUUGCAACUUUGGACCUCAAGAGGUUUCUUCCCUGCCCUGUUCCCUCUUUUCUUAACUCGAUAUUCUGGAUGUUGCACCUUUAACCAGCACACAGGGCUAUUUCUCCAAUGUACAAUAAAAGAACUGUUCCUGUGUCUCA